GGGCCAGAGCUGUGCCGUGGGGUGCGCGUUGCUGCUGUGUGGUGGGAGAGCAGGAAGGAGGAGGCAAACCCAGCCUGGACAAGGGGAGGAUGCAGACAAGGUCUCGGGAUCAGCUGGCUGAGACGUGUCCACGGGGAGUUACAGGCAGUCCUGAGAGCCUUCAGGUGGCUGCUGGGGAGAGGUGCCCGCCAGCCAGGGUGACGGGCCAGUCGGGCACGGGUGACAGCUCUGGGCCGAGCGGUGUCUCCAGGAGGGACGCGAGGGGCCGGCGGCGCUGCGUGGUGAUGGAGGAAGCGCCAUGUGCACCACCCUCCUGCUCCUCGGCACCCUGGUCAUGAUGCUGCGGCGCCGCUUCUGCAACAAAGUCGAACCGCGUCCCGAGGGAGAAGAAGAGACCAGGAGAGAGGCUGGCUCUGACCCUCGCACCACGUAACACCGCUUCGGAGCAAAACCCAG
rnacentral:lncRNA from 1 species